rnacentral:tRNA from 1 species
AAUGUGUUGCCUGAUAAAAGGAUUACUUUGAUAGAGUAAAUUAUGUAAAUCAACUUUACACACAUUA